UACCAGCACCCCGAGUGGUCGUGACGAUUAUUUGGCCUAAAGCAUCCGUAGCCGGUUCUGCCAGUCCCCCGUUAAAUCCAGCUGCUCAACAGAUGGGCCGCGGAGGAUACUCCAGAGCUAGGAGGCAGGAGAGGCAAGCGGUACUCAGUGGGUAGGGGUAAAAUCCGUUGAUCCAUUGAAGACCACCAGUGGCGAAGGCGGCUUGCCAGAAUGCGCUCGACGGUGAGGGAUGAAAGCUGGGGGAGCAAACCGG
rnacentral:rRNA from 1 species